GAUAAACGCUGGCGGCGCACAUAAGACAUGCAAGUCGAACGAACUUAAUUCGAAUGUUUACAUUUGGAAGCGGUUAGUGGCGGACUGGUGAAUAACACGUAAGCAACCUGCCUAUCAGAGGGGAAUAACAGUGAGAAAUCAUUGCUAAUACCGCAUAUGCUGUGAGUAUCGCAUGAUACAAACAGGAAAGGAGCAAUCCGCUGAUAGAUGGGCUUGCGUCUGAUUAGAUAGUUGGUGGGGUAAUGGCCUACCAAGUCGACGAUCAGUAGCCGGACUGAGAGGUUGAACGGCCACAUUGGGACUGAGAUACGGCCCAGACUCCUACGGGAGGCAGCAGUCGGGAAUAUUGCACAAUGGAGGAAACUCUGAUGCAGUGACGCCGCGUGCAGGAAGAAGGUUUUCGGAUUGUAAACUGCUUUAGAUAGGGAAGAUAAAAGACUGUACCUAUAGAAUAAGCUCCGGCUAACUACGUGCCAGCAGCCGCCGUAAAAC
rnacentral:rRNA from 1 species